AACACCCAGGUAAAGCUGCUGCUUGC
rnacentral:piRNA from 1 species